GGCAAGGUGUCCGAGUGGUCUAAGGAGCACGGUUCAGGAACUGGACCUAUAAACUGAUUCAUCAGUUUCCGUGUCUCGCAAGGGGCGUGGGUUCGAAUCCCACCCUUGUCA
rfam:Neosartorya fischeri NRRL 181 1099437636264 genomic scaffold, whole genome shotgun sequence.